UUAUACGACCGUACCGCAAACCGACACUGGUGCGCGAGAUGAGUAUUCUAAGGCGCUUGAGAGAACUCAGGAGAAGGAACUCGGCAAAUUGACACCGUAACUUCGGAAGAAGGUGUGCCCUAUUAGUGUGUAGUGAACAACGAAGCAUGAAUGGGUUGCAAAAAAUCGGUGGCUGCGACUGUUUAUUAAAAACACAGCACUCUGCAAACACGAAAGUGGACGUAUAGGGUGUGACGCCUGCCCGGUGCUGGAAGAUUAAAUGAUGGGGUGCAAGCUCUUGAUUGAAGUCCCAGUAAACGGCGGCCGUAACUAUAACGGUCCUAAGGUAGCGAAAUUCCUUGUCGGGUAAGUUCCGACCUGCACGAAUGGCGUAACGAUGGCCACACUGUCUCCUCCUGAGACUCAGCGAAGUUGAAAUGUUUGUGAUGAUGCAAUCUCCCCGCGGAAAGACGGAAAGACCCCAUGAACCUUUACUGUAGCUUUGUAUUGGACUUUGAACAGAUCUGUGUAGGAUAGGUGGGAGGCUUUGAAGCAGGGUCGCUAGAUCUUGUGGAGCCAACGUUGAAAUACCACCCUGGUGUGUUUGAGGUUCUAACCUAGGUCCAUUAUCUGGAUCGGGGACAGUGCAUGGUAGGCAGUUUGACUGGGGCGGUCUCCUCCCAAAGCGUAACGGAGGAGUUCGAAGGUACGCUAGUUACGGUCGGACAUCGUGACGAUAGUGCAAUGGCAUAAGCGUGCUUAACUGCGAGACUGACAAGUCGAGCAGAUGCGAAAGCAGGACAUAGUGAUCCGGUGGUUCUGUAUGGAAGGGCCAUCGCUCAACGGAUAAAAGGUACUCUGGGGAUAACAGGCUGAUACCGCCCAAGAGUUCAUAUCGACGGCGGUGUUUGGCACCUCGAUGUCGGCUCAUCUCAUCCUGGGGCUGUAGCCGGUCCCAAGGGUAUGGCUGUUCGCCAUUUAAAGAGGUACGUGAGCUGGGUUUAAAACGUCGUGAGACAGUUUGGUCCCUAUCUUCCGUGGGCGCUGCAGAUUUGAGGAAGCCUGCUCCUAGUACGAGAGGACCGGAGUGGACACACCUCUGGUGUAUCGGUUGUCACGCCAGUGGCAUUGCCGAGUAGCUAAGUGUGGAAGAGAUAACCGCUGAAAGCAUCUAAGCGGGAAACUCGUUUCAAGAUGAGAUCUGCCGGGGCCUUGAGCCCCCUAAAGAGUCGUUCAAGACCAGGACGUUGAUAGGUCAGGUGUGGAAGCCAA
rnacentral:rRNA from 1 species